rnacentral:lncRNA from 1 species
GACCAUCUCUAUUGCCUCUGUCUCUUCCAUUGGGGUCUCUUUUGUUGGAAUCUCCUUUAUUGGAGUCUUUAUCAUGGACACGGAUGAUGAAACUGUGGACUCGGCAAUCAAAGGGGGAUUCUCAUUUUCCACGACUGUGGUAGCUGUUUCGAUGGUCGGAACCUUGUCAUCGCCAUCUGCUAGGGCUGAAGGACCAACGAACGAAACUUUGGCCUACCUUCUUUGGGCCGAUGCC